rnacentral:rRNA from 1 species
ACAUGCAAGUCGAACGAAGUAGCAAUACUUAGUGGCAGACGGGUGAGUAACAUGUGGGUAUCUGCCCUUUGGCCUGGAAUAACACGAGGAAACUUGUGCUAAUACCGGAUAAGUCUUUACGGAGAAAGCUUUAUGCACCAUUGGAUGAGCCCGCACUUGAUUAGUUUGUUGGUGGGGUAAUGGCCUACCAAGACUGUGAUCAAUAGCUGAUUUGAGAGGAUGAUCAGCCACAUUGGGACUGAGACACGGCCCAAACUCCUACGGGAGGCAGCAGUGGGGAAUCUUGCACAAUGGAGGAAACUCUGAUGCAGCGAUGCCGCGUGAGUGAAGAAGGCCCUUGGGUUGUAAAGCUCUUUCGUCGGGGAAGAAAAUGACUGUACCCGAAUAAGAAGGUCCGGCUA